GCGAUAUUCGGCUAAACUGAAAGUAGGAGCUGAAUGCCUUGUUUCACAAAAAAGAACACUGCUCAGAUAUUUUCUCUGGACUGCCAAUUUCUGCAUUUCAUGUGAUACCUGUGUUGGAGCCCUCCCAAGAACCUCCCCUGUAAGAUUUCAAAGUUAAGGAGAUCAUUCAAAUGAUAGUGGUUUUGGUCCAUGUUGGUUUGUCUCAACAGUUAAUCUUUUGGAAAGCAGUGUUGGAGAAAAUAUCAGCAACAUGUGAAGACUGUGAUUUAGUUUCAUACGA